rnacentral:tRNA from 1 species
GGGCCGGUGGCGCAGCCUGGAGGGAGAUUUUUGGUCGAAUGGAUUCACUACCUGGGAAUUAGCGCACCUGACUUUUAAUCAGGUUGUCGCGGGUUCGAAUCCCGUCCGGCCCA